AUGGAGUUGAGACUGAGCUGGGUUUUCCUCAUUGCCCUUUUAAAAGGUGUCCAGUGUGAAGGGCAGCUGCUGCAGUCUGGGGGAGACUUGGUGCAGCCUGGAAAGUCCCUAAAACUCUCCUGUGCAGCCUCUGGAUUCACAUUCAGUGACUACUGGAUGAACUGGGUCCGCCAGGCUCUAGGGAAAGGGCUGGAGUGGGUUGCUCUAAUUAUGAUCCAAGCUAAUAAUUAUGCAGCAUACUAUUCGCAGUCUGUGAAAGGAAGAUUCACCAUCUCAAGAGAUGAUUCCAAAAGCAGCCUCUACCUGCAAAUGAACAGCUUAAGAGCCGAAGACACCGCCAUUUAUUACUGUAGUAGAUACACAGCGAGCAAUCUUGAGUCUGAACCCAGACACAAACCUCCUUGCAGGAGCACUAAGUACCAGCAGGUGGCGCAGUGCGUCCUUGGGGAACAGACACUUUGUAGAAAUGUGUGCAAAUAUUAUUGA